CUAGGGAGCCUAACAUAUGCGCGAGUCACUCAGUCUUGAAUAGGCUAGAGGGGCGCAAUUAAAGUAAACACAUUACUAGGGAUGAUCCUCGAGAGCUGUCCCGUAAAAGGGGCAGUGGAGAGGCGCAGUCCCGGCCCACCUACUUCGCUUAAUUGUCGAUCUGGUGGAGCUUGAGCGCAUACGUUAGUACCCGAAAGAUGGUGAACUAUGCCCGGGCAAGACGAAGUCAGAGGAAACUCUGAUGGAGGUCUGUAGCGAUUCUGACGUGCAAAUCGAUCGUCAGACCUGGGUAUAGGGGCGAAAGACUAAUCGAACCAUC
rnacentral:rRNA from 1 species